GUGUUUCUCUUCUUUCUUAAGGAUAUCCAUGACUGUCUGGGAGUUUGUUCAUGCGACUGUCCCGAGCGUCCGCCUCGAGGGGAGACGUACAAGUGUCUUCGCGCACCAGUUUACUCAGACACGGCAUAAUUCAUUACAGUGUCUUACAAAGUCACGCCCUCCUCUACAGUCCCUCUGGCCCAACCUAGAAGUUCCAGUCACACCUCUGCCAUGUUCCCGGACAAGAGGAUCAUUCUGGGCUCAAAGCAGACAGUGACUGAUCACAGCAUUUUUCAUUUAAAUAAAAUGAGGUCAAAGAAUAUUGUGGUUUCAUCUUCAUGUUUACAUUCACUGAUGUGAAGUACACUGGAGUUAUUGAUCCACUUAACUGGGAAUAUAAUUUGGGAAGGUCACACAGUUAUGCUACCUAAUAACCACUAAUUGUGUUAAUGCCAAAUACACCUACUUGUAUGUUUAUUCCAACACAUAAUCCUUUUAUUGGUAAAGAUAUGUGCAUGUCAAAGUAUGCUUGGGCUAUGACAAAAAUAAUGUUUUAAAUAUUUUUUUUUUAUUAUUAUUGUAGGCUUAAUGUAUUUUGUUCAAAAAUGAGGCAAAUACGUACAUAAGAACAUGAAAUGACGGUAAAACACAUUGAUUUCUGAUCACAGUGACAGCUGACUGGACAGAUAAGGCACCAGGCUAAACUAAGCCUGGUUGUUAGCCUGGUUGGGACCAGACUAAGUGCACAGAAUAAAUAUCCAUCGCAACAUAUGUGCCUCUGCUUUCGAACAACCGAAUCAACGCUAAAUUAAGCCAGGAUAACCAACAUAUCCCGGCUUAAUCCCUUAUCUAGGUUUCGAACAACAGGCCCCUGGACAAACACUGAGUUCGGAUAACAACUCCCUGACAGAAAUGUGCGAAUGUGAGCAGUGUUGUUGUGACACAGCAAGUGCACUCAGUCAGCUUUCCUGGGCAAAUAAAGGUUUAAAAACGAGGUCUGAUCAGGUCCCGUUGAUGCCAAUGUG